CAGUAGCCGCGGUAAUACGAAGGGUGCAAGCGUUACUCGGAAUUACUGGGCGUAAAGCGUGCGUAGGUGGUGGUUUAAGUCCGUUGUGAAAGCCCUGGGCUCAACCUGGGAAUUGUAGUGGAUACUGGGUCACUAGAGUGUGGUAGAGGAUAGUGGAAUUUCCGGUGUAGCAGUGAAAUGCGUAGAGAUCGGAAGGAACAUCUGUGGCGAAGGCGACUAUCUGGGCCAACACUGACACUGAGGCACGAAAGCGUGGGGAGCAAACAGGAUUAGAUACCCCCGUAGUCCCUGUCUCUUAUAC
rnacentral:rRNA from 1 species